rfam:Ciona savignyi cont_64590, whole genome shotgun sequence.
GGGUGUAUAGCUCAGAUGGUAGAGCGCGCGCUUAGCAUGCGCGAGGUACCGGGAUCGAUACCCGGCACCUCCA